rnacentral:lncRNA from 1 species
GGCUGCAGCGCGCCUGGACCACAAGUCGCGGUGGCCAGGGCGGGGGCCUGCUGCUAGUCGAUCGGCAGUGGCAGAGGCUCCAGCACGGCCUGAAGGCCGGCGGCGGCCCUGCUAGACGGUCUCUCGAAUACGAUUCAUAAAUAGGAUUCUUAUGAAACCAUCUCUCGAAAUGAGGCAAUUUACAUAGGCAGGCUUGUUAAUGGACUGUCUCCAAAAAUCAAUAUCCAGUGGUGGCUCUUUUAAGAAGCCUUUUGAGAAACAGUUGGCACAGAAAUAAAAUUAUCAUUUUCCAAAUUAGAAUAGACAAUGACAACCUUUGUAUCAAAAUUGUAGAGGUCAACAAGAUCUACAAUUGUGUAAUUCAUUCCAGAAUAUUCAUCAUAAACUCACGGAUCUAUAUUGUAAUAGGACUAUCUUUUCUUAAUCUCUAAUGGUCCUUUUAAAAGGGAUGCAUAUGGAGAGCAUUCUCUCCAAAGCUACUUAAGAAAAUAUUAUCCUAUAAACAAUCAUCAACAAGCAUGUAGUUAGAUGGUAAAAAAGGCUCUGCCUGAGUGGAGGCCUCGGAUUUGAAUUCUACAACAUACGCAUGUGUAAAGUAGAUAGUGCAGCGGACGAACAUUGUUUAUAUAGUUGUCUUCAAGAUGCAUGAGUUCAAAAUUUCUAUAUAUGUACGUGCAGUGCAGAGUGUACAUAAACAGCGUGGUACUGAAGUUGCGCCUCCAAUCCCUCUGCUCCUCACAAUUUAAGCCUGGUGAUUUAAAUUUCGCGACAUGUGCACUCUUGUGAAGUUUCCAUACAUGCUAAUAAAUGUAGUACAAAAUAUUUAUGUGAUCACAAUGAAGAAGUAACAUAUCCGAUACAACAUCUAAAAAUAGCAAGAAUCCCAAAGCAGAUCCUUAGGCUUAUAAAUUAUUUACUUAUUGAUUUAUUGCCUAGGUCACGGUUGGCUCAACCAGCCAACUGAGCCCAGCCCAUCGACUCUCACAACUCUCGCAUCGCUCCACACCUCCUUGGACUGCAUGGACAACCCGCGGAUAGUGCCGCCCUUGACGCGCAUCACAUCUUGGUCUAGCACCGUCGCCAGCGAGCUCUGUGCCUAUAACGAAGAAGGCAUAGGGCACAACAGAACAUAUUCAAAUAUGAACAGAUCUCACUUCUUCCACUUCUACUAGAUCUGUCAUACAGGAAAAUUGAG